rnacentral:rRNA from 1 species
UUUUCGGCAAUGGGGGGAACCCUGACCGAGCAACGCCGCGUGAAGGAAGAAGUAUUUCGGUAUGUAAACUUCUAUCAGCAGGGAAGAAAAUGACGGUACCUGACUAAGAAGCACCGGCUAAAUACGUGCCAGCAGCCGCGGUAAUACGUAUGGUGCAAGCGUUAUCCGGAUUUACUGGGUGUAAAGGGAGCGUAGACGGAUGUGCAAGUCUGGAGUGAAAGCCCGGGGCUCAACCUCGGGACUGCUUUGGAAACUGUAGAUCUAGAGUGCUGGAGAGGUAAGUGGAAUUCCUAGUGUAGCGGUGAAAUGCGUAGAUAUUAGGAGGAACACCAGUGGCGAAGGCGGCUUACUGGACAGUAACUGACGUUGAGGCUCGAAAGCGUGGGGAGC